CCUACGGGAGGCAGCAGUGAGGAAUAUUGGUCAAUGGACGAGAGUCUGAACCAGCCAAGUAGCGUGAAGGAUGACUGCCCUAUGUAUUGUAAACUUCUUUUAUAUGGGCAUAAAAUGUUCCACGUGUGGGAUUUUGUAUGUAGCCUAUGAAUAAGGAUCGGCGAACUCCGUGCCAGCAGCCGCGGUAAUACGGAGGAUCCGAGCGUUAUCCGGAUUUAUUGGGUUAAAAGGGUGCGUAGUCGGUCCGGAAAGUCAGCGGUAAAAGCCCGGGGCUCAACCCCGGCGAGCCGUUGAAACUGUCGGACUAGAGAGGGAGAGAAGUACGCGGAAUGCGCGGUGUAGCGGUGAAAUGCAUAGAUAUCGCGCAGAACUCCGAUUGCGAAGGCAGCGUACCGGCGCCGAACUGACGCUGAGGCACGAAAGCGUGGGUAUCGAACAGGAUUAGAUACCCCGGUAGUC
rnacentral:rRNA from 1 species